rnacentral:lncRNA from 1 species
AUACACACAACACAUAAAAAAAAGAGCAGGAGGUACAUAACCUAAUAAUAAUGAUAAUAAGCAACAAAGGAACAAAUCAUUUAUGUCAAACGAAGGAAAAAUCUCAGGGAUGUAACAAAAGCACCAUAUGUCACUGCUUCUGGAGGUGAAGAACCUUAACCCAAGCAGGCCUGGCAGUGAUCUUCUUGAUCCACUCCUUAACCUUAGGGCGAGACUCAAAGAGCUUCUUGGAGUCGGUACCCAUCAAGUAAUAGAUGAUUGGGAGGUGGUGAAGAUCAGCCAGAGUGAAGCAAUCACCAGCCAAGAAGGGUGAUUUGGAGAGCCUGGCCUCGUAGAUAUCCAAGACCUUCACCAACUUAGCUUCGAGGUCUUCCACAGCGGCAGGGUCAGUGGUCAUGCCAAGCAUGCCUUUGAAGACACGCUCGAAGGCUAGCUUAGAGGCGAUAGGGUCAAACUGUUGACCUUCAACUUGAAGCCAGACCUUUGUGGUGGCCUUGAGUUUCUUGCAGCCUUGGCAGAGAAGCUUCUCGCCUUUGUCGCUGUACUCCUCCGCUAUGUACUCUGUGAUGGCUCUUGACUCUGAAAAACAAAAAUGAAUUCAUGUGUAUCAUUGAUACUUAACCAACACGUAAUGAAAACAGAUUAAGAAAAAAAAGGAACUAACCGAAAAGCGUCAGAUCACCGUCUAGGAGAGCAGGGAUUUGACCGAAGGGCUAAAAAAAAGAAAAAGGAAAGAGCAGAGUGGUCAGAUAUGUGAAUGUGAUGAUGAAAACCAAAUUAACCAAAGCUGUGUAGAGAGUUAUUACGUACGUUGAGGGAGAUGAGAGGCUCCUGCUUGUGAGCACCGGCUUUCAUGUCGACGGGGACUAUCUCGAAAUCGAGGCCCUUCUCGUAAAGAGUAGCCAGAACGCGCAUUGUGGCCGUUGAUAUUGGAAGUCCGUGUACUUUGAUGCCGCCGCCCAUGCUUAUAAGCUUUUAAUUGGAUCUGAAGGGGUGAAUGGUGGUGCAUGGUGUUUUAUAGGUGGAGGAGGAGGCAAGGCAAGAGAAGAAUAAGUCGUUGUUGCCAUUCUUUUCGUUUGCACAAACUUCUCACCACCACAUCACCACGUCUCCUCUUCCUCCUCCUUCUCCCACUUUCUCUCUGUUUAUUUGUAACCUCUAUUUUUUUUUUUUAUCGUUUUAACCCAUUUGGUUUUGUAACUACAGAUUCAUAUACAUACAUAAAAUAAAUAAAGAAGUUAACGUUGGUUAUGCCCCCAUGCAUGUUUAAGAAAAGUAAUUUAAUAUUUCAUGCAUGGUAUCAGGUAUCAAUCCACCAAAUUUGUUUAACGAUGGUAACGUUUUAAAUUUGAUUUAUAUCCGAAUUUAACGUUUAGGAUGGUUAUACCUAAUAUCAGUCAACAAAAAGAUAAAAUAAAAUAGAUAGAUAGAUAUAUAUUAGCGCCUAUUCAAAUCACAAAACAACAAGUGUAGGUCGGUGUAUAUGGGGUACAUAAAAAAAAUAUGUGGUGGAGGCAUAUGUUGGGUAUAAUAAUUACACCAAUCAAAAGAGAGCAUAAUCUAACGAGGACCAUCCACGUAAUAAAAAAAUAUCGCAUUCAUUCCUUACUCUUUCAGUUGUACUUGUAUACAAACUCCUUUCUAAAUUUUAUAAUCGGGAUCGAUCUCUCUUUCUCUGAAACAUUUUGGAAACUUCUAGGUAAGGCUUCUUCAUUCCAAAGCAAGACCACAAUUUUUCUUCAUGGCCACCGGAGAGGAGAAACCUGUUAUGGUCGUCGGUAUCGACGAAAGCGAGCAGAGCACUUACGCCUUGGAGUGGACCCUCGAUCGUUUCUUCACUCCCUACGCUCCUAAUUUUCCUUUCAAGCUCUUCAUCGUCCACGCCAAACCUAACGCCGUCUCUGCCGUUGGUCUUGCUGGUCCCGGUACCCUCUUUUGAUUGACUAGCUAGGAACUGUCUUCUUCUAUCUAGGUUUCUCUGUUUCAGAUAUAUAUCAUUUGCGGUUUCUUUUUUCUUUUUAGGAGCUGCGGAGGUUCUGCCUUAUGUUGAUACCGAUUUGAAGCAUAUUGCUGCCAGGGUUAUCGAGAUGGCUAAAGGUAUCUGUCAGAGCAAAUCGGUAAGUAUUCACUCAUUAAUUCUUCGACUAUUUCAUAAAGGAUAAUUAUAAGAGAGCGUAUACAAUGAUGUUUCAAUGUUUGAUGAGCUAUAUUUGUUUUGAAUCUCUACAUCAUUCAAGCUUAGAUACUCCUUAUAGUUUUUUCCUUCUUUACUUUAUAAUUGAUCUUUUAUAUUUUUUUGUUUUUUUUUGUAAAAGUAAUUUAUCUAUUUUUAGUUACGUACUAGCUUCUUCUCAAUCAUUGAUUCUCUAGGUUUGUGCCGUGUAGGUUAAUGGCGCUAUGUUCGAAGUUUUUGAAGGUGAUGCAAGAAGUAUACUGUGCGAUGUUGUGGAUAAACAUCAUGCUUCUCUUCUUGUCGUGGGAAGCCAUGGUUAUGGAGCUAUCAAGAGGUAUAUAAUAUCUUUGUGUAUUUAAUUAUUAUAAUACUCACAAUCAUCAAUCUUGACUAUUUUUCUCGGCUUUAAUUCCCGACUCCUAUCACAGGGCGGUUCUAGGGAGCGUGAGCGACUACUGUGCUCAUCAUGCUCAUUGCUCGGUGAUGAUCGUGAAGAAGCCUAAGAUCAAGCACUGAUGAUCACCUAAACCCAAGCUGUUAUAUCAGUCAAAGCAAAGCAAAGUCUCAUCUGCAUAGUCGUCAGUUUCGGUGAAAUGAAAUAAAAUUGUGAAACGAUCCAAUCUAUAUAUUAAUAUUCGUGUGUAAAUUGGUUAUUGUAUUCAUAAACUAUUUUAUAUAUUGACGUUUGAUAAUACUAUUGUGGUUAUCUGCUUACCUACAAACAAGUAAACAAAAUAAGUUUUAAAAAACCUCAUAUGAGUGAGAAGACUGUUAUGGAUGAAUAUUGUUGGCUAAUGAUUCAGGGACAUGGAUAUAUCCGAAUAAAAUAAAAAAAAGAGAAGUGUUGAGACCAAUGUCAUUGUCUGGUUUUCAACAAGGGGAGGCAUGAUGACAUAUAUGUGAAAAAAGAUUAUUACCGCAUCGGCUUUCGAAAAGGCAGACUAAUUCGGAGAGAGAGAGAGAGCGACUGAGAUGAUUUUUGUUUGACAUUUUUCGAAAACGAGAUUUUUUUUGUUGUGUUCCGUCCGAUUGAGGCUUGGUGGAGACAUGGCCGGAGCUAAUGAUGAUGAUUAUGAUCGUAACAACCGCCGGAUUGCUAACUGAUAUAUUUCAAGGACAAAGCUAAUACCCAUUUCUGGGUAUGCAAAUAUGGCUAACCCACUAUAAAUACACAUUCUUGUUUUGAGUCCUGAGGCAUUCAUCACCUCUCUUCUUCUUCAUCCUUCUUCUAUAUUUUUUCUUUGGUUUAAGCUGGGAAAUGGAUGUACUGAAGUUUGAUUACAACCACAAGGGUGACAAUGCAUUAAAGGAGCUCGAGAGGAUCACCUCGAAGGCUGCUGAAGUCCAAGAUAAUAUGUUAAGUGGGAUCUUAGAAAGAAACAAGGACACACAGUACUUGAGAAAGUACAUGAAAGGCUCUAAGGACGUUAUGGAGUUUAAACGCUCUGUGCCAGUCAUCACGUACAAAGAUGUAUGUCCUUACAUUCAGAGAAUUGCAAAUGGAGAAGACUCUUCUCUGAUUACUGGUCAUCCUAUCACUGAGAUACUAUGCAGGUCGAUUUUUAUUUCUAGCCUGAAUCUCUUUCUUAGUAACAGCCUCCCCUUCCUUUGUGUUUGAAUAUAAAUUUGUGUAUGGCUAAAUAAAUGUAUCUGCUUGCUUUCAUGUUGCAGCUCAGGAACUUCUGGUGGAGAGCCGAAGCUAAUGCCAACCAUUUCGGAAGAUCUUGAUCGGCGCACCUUUGUCUACAAUCUUAUCAAUCCAAUCGCGAACAAGUUAGUACAAUGUUUCCUGUUAAUAUUCAGUCCUGAUAUACUUUAACAUCCUCCUUGUUGCUCUUAUAAGAGUAGUGAUUAGUGAAGAAGGAAUUACAUCUUCCAUGCACAUGAAUAUUUACUUGAUAAAAAACAAAGUGGCUGAUCUCAUAUUCCAUAAAAGAACCACUAGGACUGUUCCUGUAGUUGUAGGAUAGUGGAUAUGUCUCAAAAUCUGACCUAUGGAAGUGGAAGUACACAUCACAUCACAAUUCCUCCAUGUUAUUAUCCACUGGAAACAUUUAAUAAAAAAGGAAAAAAAUUAAAAAGGUUAACGAUAGGCUUCAAUGUGAAUAUGGCUUCAUAAUCAUUGUAGGCACUAACAUAUGGAAUCUGGAUACACAUGCAUAGAUGUACUGGCCGUGGUACCAAUAAAUCUUCAUAGUAGGUUGCUCACUAAGGAAGUUUGCUUUCUGCUUUGAGUUUUGUGUUUGCUUUUUGUGGAAAUUAAGUGGUAUCAUGUCAUGUACUAUAAAGUUUGCAUCCAUCAUCUUUUAUCCACACGCCAUUUUGAUGUCCCCACCCAAAGAUUCUCUGAGAAUUUUGAACAGCACUUACUAAACCUCAAGAAUCUUUUCAUAUCCACUACUGAUUUUUCUUUUCUUUCAUUUUACCUCUUUUACCAUCGUCUCUCUUUACUAUGUUUUUGACUGAGAUUUAUUAUAUGUAUUACUGACAGGUAUCUAGAAGGACUUGACAAAGGAAAAACAAUGUACCUAAACUUCGUCAAAGCUGAAACAUCAACUCCUUGUGGUUUACCAAUCAGAACUGUCCUCACUAGCUACUACAAGAGCAAACAUUUCCAGUGCCGACCUUACGAUCCAUUCAACGACUUAACCAGUCCCAUCCAAACCAUCCUUUGUGAAGACAGCAACCAAAGCAUGUACUGUCAGUUACUUGCCGCUCUUAUUCACCGUCACAAAGUCAUGCGUCUCGGAGCUGUCUUCGCUUCAGCCUUUCUCCGUGCAAUCUCUUAUCUCGAGCGAAAAUGGAGCCAGCUCUGCCAAGACAUCCGCACCGGCCAUCUCAGUCCCAUGAUCACCGAUCCAGGAUGCCAGACGGCUAUGACUUCUCUUCUAGCCUCGCCAAAUCCUGACUUAGCUGACGAGGUUGAAGAAAUCUGUGGACGCCCGUCGUGGAAAGGGAUUCUGUGUCAACUCUGGCCUCAAGCAAAGUUCAUUGAAGCAGUAGUGACAGGCUCAAUGGCUCAGUACAUACCAGCGCUUGAGUUCUUUAGCCAAGGCAAGAUUCCGUUGGUUUGUCCAAUGUAUGCUUCCUCCGAGACUUACUUUGGAGUCAACGUGAAGCCACUCUCCAAGCCAUCUGACGUCGUUUUCACGCUCUUGCCCAACAUGUGCUACUUCGAGUUCAUUCCUCUCGGCAAAAACGGAACUCUCUCUUUUGACGUAGAGGACGAAGAAGUCGUCCCCUGUGACAAAGUGGUUGACUUGGUCGACGUCAAACUCGGACGCUACUAUGAACUCGUCGUCACAACCUUCGCAGGUAAAGAAACUGGUGGCAUUGUCUUCUCCUUUUUAGUCAGCUCUGACUCUUGCAUGGAAACAGGAUUGUACCGUUACAGAAUCGGCGAUGUCCUUCAAGUGGCGGGGUUCUACAACAAAGCACCACAGUUCAGGUUUAUCUGCAGGAGAAACGUGGUUCUAAGCAUCGACUUAGACAAAACCAACGAGGAAGAUCUUCACAGGAGCAUCACGCUGGCCAAGAAGAAGCUUGAAAACAAGGCAUUCCUCGCGGAGUACACGAGCUACGCGGAUACUUCAUCAGUGCCAGGUCACUACGUGCUCUUCUGGGAGAUCCAAUGGCUCGAACCUGAUGAUGAGGAGGAGAAGCUGCUGAUGGAAGAGUGUUGCAUUGCGGUUGAGGAAGAGCUGGAUUACAUAUACAGGCAAUGCAGGAAGAGAGAUAGAUCGGUGGGGCCUUUAGAGAUAAGAGUGGUGAAGCCAGGGACGUUCGAGAAGCUGAUGGAUAUGAUAAUAAGCCAAGGAGGGUCGCUUAAUCAGUACAAAACGCCGAGAUGUGUUAAGUCCAACAGUGCUAUGCUCAAGCUCUUGGACGGCCACGUGACCGGUUCCUUCUCUAGCCCUCGUGAUCCAACCUGGUCCCCUUGAUGUCGAACGUAUGUAUUGAUCGGAGAGACUAUAAUUUACUAAUCAGUAUUCGGUAAUAACCAAAUGGGAUCGGAUUUGCUGUAAUGCUAGCAGUAGCAGGCAUGUAAUGCUACUACCUGAUUGAUUAAAAAAUGUUAUAAGAAACUUCAUUUACCGAGUUAUCUAUCUCUUAUAGUUCCUUUCAGUUUCUCGUCGCAUAAUAUAACUUUAGUACCGAGUUACUUAUAUCGUAUGAUUUACAAUAUAUUAAGGAAUUUUAAGACGAUCAUCAUCCUCAAGCCCUCUUGAAACAAAAGCUACUGUGGGAUUCUUUUUUUGUAUUCUCUGGCAUGGCUUCUGAGGAAGAGUUGUAUUCAUUGGGUGUUUGAAGUGUGUUUCCCGGCCCAAACAUAUAACACAAGAGUCCAAUCUGUUUAUCCAACUGUCGUUGGUUACAAAUUUAAUUACAUCAUCAUCCACUUUGUCGGCACUUAAUCUUAUCAGGAUCAUGGAUAAAUGCCAUGUGAUCUGUGAACAUGGCUUCUUAACGGACAGAAACCCCACGUACGCUGUCUCCCAAAACUUGAUUCGGAUAAUACUGAAAUGAAAAAGCAAUUAUUAUGAUUGUUUUUUGAUUUUUCUCUUGUGUUGAACAUAUAUAGUCAGCCAAAAGACAUGAAGCGCAUCUGGUGUAGUGGUAUCAUAGUACCCUCCCACGGUACUGACCAGGGUUCGAUUCCCUGGAUGCGCAUUUUUUUGUGCAAGAGUGUUCCGGUUUGGUUUGCAUAGGUUUUUUGGGCUUGGUUAAGGAUUAGUAGUGGAAACUGGCUUAGAUGCAUUCAGAUUAUCCAUCUCUUGGCCUAGAUUCCCAGUUAGUCUCUUAAACUUAUGCUCCUCUCUUUCCAUUUUCUUUAACUGGAAGGGAACCAAUUAAGAUCAUGAGCUCUUGUCUCAUUAAUUAGAAGGAAGAGGUCUUGUUAAGCCGAAAGGUCUAGAGUUCUACAAGAACUAAUAUAUUCAGUAUUGGAGGCUACAAAAAUGGGGGGUACAAAACCACCUGGUCGUUGUUCGGCCUGCUUCUCAGGGAACUCUUCCACUGAACCAUAUAUGGUAGCACAUAACUUGCUGCUUGCCCACGCCUCUGCUUCUAGACUAUAUAAGCAAAAGUACAAGGUAAUAUUUCAAAGUCCGGUAAUUGAAUAUGAUAAAGCUUAUUGUUUAGCUGCAUGAUCUCAGUUGUUUUAUUGCACAGCAUACACACAACACAUAAAAAAAAGAGCAGGAGGUACAUAACCUAAUAAUAAUGAUAAUAAGCAACAAAGGAACAAAUCAUUUAUGUCAAACGAAGGAAAAAUCUCAGGGAUGUAACAAAAGCACCAUAUGUCACUGCUUCUGGAGGUGAAGAACCUUAACCCAAGCAGGCCUGGCAGUGAUCUUCUUGAUCCACUCCUUAACCUUAGGGCGAGACUCAAAGAGCUUCUUGGAGUCGGUACCCAUCAAGUAAUAGAUGAUUGGGAGGUGGUGAAGAUCAGCCAGAGUGAAGCAAUCACCAGCCAAGAAGGGUGAUUUGGAGAGCCUGGCCUCGUAGAUAUCCAAGACCUUCACCAACUUAGCUUCGAGGUCUUCCACAGCGGCAGGGUCAGUGGUCAUGCCAAGCAUGCCUUUGAAGACACGCUCGAAGGCUAGCUUAGAGGCGAUAGGGUCAAACUGUUGACCUUCAACUUGAAGCCAGACCUUUGUGGUGGCCUUGAGUUUCU